AUUUGGGCAGAGGGAUCCUCCUCCUGUCACCACUGUUUGUAGGGGCUCUUCUGGAUGGUGAAUCUGCAUUUCUGGUGUGUCUCUGCUCCAGCUCCAUUCCACUGGCCCACCUAGGAGCCACAGGAAAGAUUAUGAACAGCUCUGUGGUGUGUCUCUGCGAAACUGAGGAGGAGUUUUACCAGCAUGAUGUGUGUGGCACACUUAAGGGGAGGUUAUUGUUGGAACUUUCCAAAGGGAGCAUUGAAAAACCAAGUCCACUGCUCUAUUUAAGAGCCCUGUCUGUCUCCCCUUGAUGAGAGGACAUAAGCCAGAGAGGUGUUCUGGGUGAAGGGACAGGUUGCAGCAGGCAAGGGAAUGACUGUGGCAUGCGUUGUUUCAGCCUGCUGCCAAGCACAGGUGCUCUGGCUCGGGCAGGUGCUGCACCAAUGUAAUUGAUGCUAUUGAUCCCUUUGCCUCCCAUCUGUUCCCUGGCUGUGCUGCACUGUAAAUUCUUCUGGUGGGACUUCAGGCGAGUCUGUUUUUCAUGCACAGGCAGUAACAGAGCUCCAUGUAUCCCCUCACUUGCUGUGUUUUUGGGGAUGGCUGGGGUAUCAGAAAAGGUCUGGGAAGUAUUCAUAAACGCAUGCCUGCUGUUGGCAGGUUGUGUGUGUUGUGCACUACUCAGGUGCCUAGAGAGGCUGAUGAAGAAACUUGUGUUACCGUGUAGGACAGUUGCUAAAUGGCUUUCCCCAUUAACUAGUGACAUUUGAGUUAAACUAAUGAGCAGCAUGUCUGCUGCAAUGCAGUGUGCAUUUUUUCUUGGAGACUUUUUUUCAGCUUAUAUGUUGUUUCACCAAUGCUCUUAGCCACCAUUACAGCUGAUUAAUGAUGCCUUUCAUUAAAGGGAAAUGAUUACGGACA